GCUCUGGUAGAUUAAUGUAGGUCAUCCCUUCAUCAUUACAUCGUAUACGAAUUGGUGAUUGAUACAGGGAAGACGGAGGUUCGAAUCCUCCCCAGGGUG